AAGGGCCCUGAUCACGAAACACAGGAACAAAAUGAAUCUGGAGAGUUUGAUCCUGGCUCAGAACGAACGCUGGCGGCGUGCCUAACACAUGCAAGUCCAACGUGAAAGGGGAGCAAUCCCCCGGUAGGGUGGCAAACGGGUGAGUAAUACAUGGGUGAUCUACCUUAGGGAUGGGGAUAUCCUUCCGAAAGGAGGGGCAAUACCGAAUAUUGUCCGGAGCCGUGAAGGGUUCCGGGGAAAGGGAGGCCUCUGAUACAAGCUUUCGCCUUAAGAUGAGCCCAUGGCCCAUCAGCUAGUUGGUAGGGUAAAGGCCUACCAAGGCUACGACGGGUCGCUGGUCUGAGAGGACGACCAGCCACACCUGGCACUGAGAUACGGGCCAGACUCCUACGGGAGGCAGCAGUGAGGAAUAUUGCGCAAUGGGGGAAACCCUGACGCAGCAACGCCGCGUGUGGGAAGAAGGCCUUCGGGUC
rnacentral:rRNA from 1 species